GGAACGGACGCUAAGACCCGAUGUGCCGAGAGGUGAAAUAUUUAUAGCCUGAAGAUGAGCUCGCGUCUGAUUAGCUAGUUGGUGGGGUAAGAGCCNACCAAGGCGAUGAUCAGUAGCUGGUCUGAGAGGAUGAUCAGCCACACUGGGACUGAGACACGGCCCAGACUCCUACGGGAGGCAGCAGUGGGGAAUUUUCCGCAAUGGGCGAAAGCCUGACGGAGCAACGCCGCGUGCGGGAGGACGGCCUGUGGGUUGUAAACCGCUUUUCUCAGGGGAGAUGAUGACGGUACCUGAGGAAUCAGCAUCGGCUAACUCCGUGCCAGCAGCCGCGGUAAUACGGAGGAUGCAAGCGUUAUCCGGAAUUAUUGGGCGUAAAGCGUCCGCAGGUGGUUUUGCAAGUCUGCUGUCAAAGCGUGGAGCUUAACUCCAUAUAGGCAGUGGAAACUGUGAGACUAGAGUGUGGUAGGGGCAGAGGGAAUUCCCAGUGUAGCGGUGAAAUGCGUAGAUAUUGGGAAGAACA
rnacentral:rRNA from 1 species